GAUAAAUGUGCCUCAAUUCUUAAGAAAACUGAUGCUUGAUCUAAGAAAUGGAUAAAAGAGUUUAUUCACAUUAAAAUACCUGCCUUUGAGGCUAAGGUAAUCCGGUAAUCUCCCAGUGAUGAGCAAAUCACGCAUUCUCCAUUAAUACUGGAUGCAGUUAGACAACCUGCCU